rnacentral:rRNA from 1 species
CCUACGGGUUGCAGCAGUAGGGAACUUUCGUCAAUGGGGGGAACCCUGAACGAGCAAUGCCGCGUGAGUGAGGAAGGUCUUCGGAUCGUAAAGCUCUGUUGUAAGAGAAAAACGGCACUCAUAGGGAAUGAUGAGUGAGUGAUGGUAUCUUACCAGAAAGUCACGGCUAACUACGUGCCAGCAGCCGCGGUAAUACGUAGGUGGCGAGCGUUAUCCGGAAUGAUUGGGCGUAAAGGGUGCGUAGGUGGCAGAUCAAGUCUGGAGUAAAAGGUAUGGGCUCAACCCGUACUGGCUCUAGAAACUGAUCAGCUAGAGAACAGAAGAGGACGGCGGAACUCCAUGUGUGGCGGUAAAAUGCGUAGAUAUAUGGAAGAACACCGGUGGCGAAGGCGGCCGUCUGGUCUGGAUUCUGACACUGAAGCACGAAAGCGUGGGGAGCAAAUAGGAUUAGAUACCCCCGUAGUC